CUGAGAUGUGACAAAUAAAAAUGGCAAGCAAUAGGAUAUAUUGGAGAAUAUGAGGAAGCCAUUUGCUAUGAACUGUCGACGAAAAUAAUCCAUAACCAAUUUAUAAAUGAAAAUUUGGGUGAGUUUAUUCUGAGCUUAAAUCUUAGGAUUAUAACCCAGGAGUCUUUUCAGAAAGGAACAGAGCACUCCAAAGAAGUGGGGGUACACAGGCUGGUUAUAUACCCUCAAAGAGUGUGUUUCACAUAUGAUUGAAAUGUCACUCCCACAAUAGUCACAAGAUUGCCCUGUCAGCACAGCACUUGAUGGACACAGCAGGUAGUGGGUCUGCUAUCUUGGUGGGUGUAGCAGGAGGCAAGUCUAUUGUCUCAAGCUGGGUGGUCACAGGUGAGCACAGCAAUCAGUUUCUAGCCUAAGGAAAGAUGCUUAAUCCUUAAGGAGAUGCCAACGUUGGGAGGGGGAGGGAAGUUGCACCUUUAUCUCAAGGGCCUUUUGCUCUUGCCAUAGGGAAUCUCUAAAGCAGAUAUACAAUGCAUGCUCAACGGCCUCCGUCAGGCCCUUUUGGAAAGACAAGGUCAAGCCAAAUUAGGUUUAUACCAAAUGGCUUCCUCAUAUACUACAAUAUAUCCUAUUACUUGCCAUUUUUAUUUGUCAUUUUCCCCUUUUGAUCUCUAAUCUUUCGAUAGAAAGCAUUGAUGAUCAAAAUAUUGUCCCUCAGCGCCAGGGUGGUUGCUGCCUGCCCUGGGUCCAUCAUGUCCCUCGGUGAUAGGCUUUUAGCUCAUUUAUUUGCCUAGUCGACCACUUUGGGGGGGAAAUAGUGGACAAGCAUAGAGUUAUAUAUAUAUUAACAGAGGAAGCAUUUCAUAUGUCAUGUAAUUUCCAAUUAAUUUUAGAUAGUUGUGCAAACAUUGUAUAUGUGCUUUUUAUGACACUUCACAUUUACAUUGUUUAUGAUUAUAGAACAAGUACAGUAAUGAUAAUAACUCAGAACUUUUAAAAGGAUUAGUCGGAAAUGAAUUCUUAGUCAUAGUCACUAUCAGAAAAGGAAAUUUGUCCAGGGUUAUAAGACAGAUCAACCAUCACAAGCCAUCGAGCAAUCAUUACUCUAGUUUGUAUGCUACUCUUACAACACUGAGUAAAGAAAACAACAAUUAGUUUGAAUAUUAUGACUAGUACAAGAAUUCCAAGAAGUAGUUGUAGGGGAAGAAGACAUUUCCUCUUCCCAAAUGUGGGUUCGUCUGGCCAGAGAACAAAUUAAAUUCACAUGAGACAGACUAGCAAGAGAAAAUUAAACAAAGCUUUAUGAGGAACCAUGGCCCAGGGCCUCUCUUCCUGAAGGAAGAAAGGGCGCCAAAGAAGUGGAGUGCACAGAGUGAUUAUAUACCCCCAAAUGGGGUGUUUCACAUGUGAUUGAAAUGUCCCUCGCACAAUAGACACAAGAUUGCACUGUUGGCACAGUGCUUGAUGGACAUAGCAGGUAAUGGUCAGCUAUCUCGGUGGACAUAGCAGGAGGUAAGUCUAUUUUCUGGAGCUGGGUGGUCACAGGUGAGCGCAGGAAUCAGUUCCUAGCCUAAGGAAAGAUGCUUAAUCCUUAAAGAAAUGCCAACGUUGGGAGGGGUAGGGAAGUCAGUUACAGCAGGUUACCAGACAAGCACAAUAAAAUACAGAUUUAAGUCCUUGCCUUUGGUAUUGAUUAAGAGUUUCUAGAGAGAAGGUCGUCUCCUUUCUUCUUCCUGGUGCAGAGAGGGAGGCAUAUUUUACAGAUAGAGAUUUACCUUGCAAAUGUAAACGUGUCCUAACAAAGCGCAAAUUCCAUUCCUCAGAGCCUCCUUCCUGUCCCAGUUUAUCAAAAGCAGUCAGCAUCAAAUAAUCCUGAUGCCAAAGAGACAUAUCUUGGGGCGGCCAAUUCCAGGUCCCCACAGUCCCUCCUUUGAAACUUUAAGAAGUUUCACAGUCCAGAAUCUGAGUGGUAGAUUGUUUCAUCUCACUUAACACAUUUCUUAGUCCUGGUAAUAGAUCAGUCCAGUUAAAGUCAUUUUAGAAGGCGGCGAUGCAGGUGGUCUCCCAAAGUUAGGCCUAUAUUUUGGAAGCAAGCAAUCAGGUAUUUAAUAAGUAUUUCUAUGGAAAUACAAAGAAAAACAAGGUUAGUGAUUGGAGCAAAUUAUAAACUAGUUCCUCAGUCCAGGAGGCAACCAGUCAAGAAGACUUCUAGAUGUCAGAGUCAAAGCAUCUUUUGCAGCUUGAAACAUCUCUGAUGAUGUCAUCAGACAUUCAGAUAUCUUUCCGAGUGUCUUACAGCUUAGAAAGCAACAGACAGGAAUCUCUCAAGUUUCUAUCAAGUCUUUCAGCUUCAGUUUGCAAGGCUUCAGGAAAAAGAGCAGGUUCAAUUCUCAAUGAUUCCAAAUGAAAAUGAGGUAUUAUUGAAAACAUUAGUUUGGAGAUUUGUAACCAGACAUUUCAGUAGAAGAAUUCAGGAUCCAGUCCAGUUCACAGGUAGAGAAAAAAACCUCAAAGACAAUUAACAGAACUAGGAUCUAAGAUCCACAAAUGUGUAUUUUAGUUUUUCACUGAAACAUAGUUCUUCUCUCUAAAAUCAUCCUCAUUUUUACCAAAGAUCGCAAAAUUAAGACUAAUUGGUUAGAAAAAUAAGUUUAGUAUCAAGAAACUUGGCCCAAUUAUUUACAUAAGUGCAGCAAGAACAGCAAUUGAUCAUAUAGGCUCUUAAAUUGCUUUCCUGGAAUUCUUUUAUGACUAAUCUCAGAUUGAACUUUAAAGACCUCUCAAGGCCAGGAAAGCAAAGCCAAGGACUUGCAGUCAGAUUUUGCCUGCAGUACCUACAUAUUUGCGUGGAUUUCUGUCUUCUUGAGGUCCCCCAAAAUAUUCUGAGGUUCCUUACAUCUGCCAGAUAAGCAAGCUUCCUUACUUACCAGGUAAGAUUGCCAGAAUCUCUGUAAACCAGGUACCAGGCCCAUAUUUCCAAGUGGCUUAUUUCAGAAAGUGAACCUUAUUCCUCAAAGGCUGUAUUGUCAUAUCCGAGUCUGUAUGUUCCUCUCAAAUAUGACAUUCCAGUCAAAGCCUUGGUAAUACAACCAAUGAUUAACCAUCUUUCCUUAGGCUAGGAAAUGAUUGCUGCGCUCACCUGUGA
rnacentral:lncRNA from 1 species